rnacentral:rRNA from 1 species
GCACGAGAUUCAACAUGGAACGAGUGGCGGACGGGUGAGUAACACGUGGGUAACCUGCCCUUAAGUGGGGGAUAACAUUUGGAAACAGAUGCUAAUGCCGCAUAGAUCCAAGAACCGCAUGGUUCUUGGCUGAAAAGAUGGCGUAAGCUAUCGCUUUUGGAUGGACCCGCGGCGUAUUAGCUAGUUGGUGAGGUAANGGCUCACCAAGGCGAUGAUACGUAGCCGAACUGAGAGGUUGAUCGGCCACAUUGGGACUGAGACACGGCCCAAACUCCUACGGGAGGCAGCAGUAGGGAAUCUUCCACAAUGGACGCAAGUCUGAUGGAGCAACGCCGCGUGAGUGAAGAAGGCUUUCGGGUCGUAAAACUCUGUUGUUGGAGAAGAAUGGUCGGCAGAGUAACUGUUGUCGGCGUGACGGUAUCCAACCAGAAAGCCACGGCUAACUACGUGCCAGCAGCCGCGGUAAUACGUAGGUGGCAAGCGUUAUCCGGAUUUAUUGGGCGUAAAGCGAGCGCAGGCGGUUUUUUAAGUNUGAUGUGAAAGCCCUCGGCUUAACCGAGGAAGCGCAUCGGAAACUGGGAAACUUGAGUGCAGAAGAGGACAGUGNNCCUCCAUGUCGCAUNNGNNACCCUGGUAGUCCANUAGAUACCCUGGUAGUCCAUUAGAUACCCUGGUAGUCC